GGAAUAUUGGACAAUGGGGGAAACCCUGAUCCAGCGACGCCGCGUGUGUGAAGGAGGCCUGCGGGUUGUAAAGCACUUUUAGUGGGGAUGAAAUGUGCAGGGUUAAUACCUCUGCAUUUUGACCUAACCCACAGAAAAAGCACCGGCUAACUCUGUGCCAGCAGCCGCGGUAAUACAGAGGGUGCAAGCGUUAAUCGGAAUUACUGGGCGUAAAGCGUGCGUAGACGGUUACAUAAGUCGGGUGUGAAAGCCCCGGGCUCAACCUGGGAAUUGCAUUCGAGACUGCGUAGCUAGGGUGCGGAAGAGGGAAGCGGAAUUUCCGGUGUAGCGGUGAAAUGCGUAGAUAUCGGAAGGAACACCAGUGGCGAAAGCGGCUUCCUGGUCCAGCACCGACGUUCAGGCACGAAAGCGUGGGGAGCAAAC
rnacentral:rRNA from 1 species